AUUGAACGCUGGCGGCAUGCUCUACACAUGCAAGUCGAACGGUAACAGGGUGCUUGCACCGCUGACGAGUGGCGAACGGGUGAGUAAUGCGUCGGAACGUGCCGAGUAGUGGGGGAUAACGCAGCGAAAGUUGUGCUAAUACCGCAUACGUACUGAGGUAGAAAGUGGGGGACCUUCGGGCCUCACGCUAUUCGAGCGGCCGACGUCUGAUUAGCUAGUAGGUGAGGUAAAGGCUCACCUAGGCGACGAUCAGUAGCGGGUCUGAGAGGAUGAUCCGCCACACUGGGACUGAGACACGGCCCAGACUCCUACGGGAGGCAGCAGUGGGGAAUUUUGGACAAUGGGCGAAAGCCUGAUCCAGCCAUGCCGCGUGUCUGAAGAAGGCCUUCGGGUUGUAAAGGACUUUUGUCAGGGAGGAAAUCCCUAGUGCUAAUACCGCUGGGGGAUGACAGUACCUGAAGAAUAAGCACCGGCUAACUACGUGCCAGCCGCCGCCGUAACAC
rnacentral:rRNA from 1 species